GACGAACGCUGGCGGCGUGCCUCAAACAUGCAAGUCGAGCGGACGGAGACCGAACCGCAAGGGGAGGUUGAAGUUAGCGGCGAACGGGUGAGUAACACGUGGGUAACCUACCCUAAAGUCUGGGACAACGGCCCGAAAGGGCCGCUAAUACCGGAUAAUGUCUUCGGGUCGCAUGGCCUGGGGAAGAAAGCCGAAAGGCGCUUAUGGAUGGGCUCGCGUCCCAUCAGCUAGUUGGUAAGGUAACGGCUUACCAAGGCGACGACGGGUAGCCGGUCUGAGAGGAUGGUCGGCCACACUGGGACUGAGAUACGGCCCAGACUCCUACGGGAGGCAGCAGUUGGGAAUAUUGGGCAAUGGGCGAAAGCCUGACCCAGCGACGCCGCGUGAGGGAAGAAGGCCUUCGGGUCGUAAACCUCUGUCAUCGGGGACGAAGUAUGACGGUACCAGAGGAGGAAGCCACGGCUAACUACGUG
rnacentral:rRNA from 1 species